AGAGUUUGAUCCUGGCUCAGGCUUUACGCUAGCGACAGGCUUAACACAUGCAAGUCGAGGGGCAGCGGGUAGAUGAGCUUGCUCAUUUAUGCCGGCGACCGGCGCACGGGUGAGUAACACGUAUGCAACCUGCCCGUCUCAGGGGGAUAAUCGUCGGAAACGGCGUCUAAUACCCCGUAUGAAGCUGGACGGCAUCGUCUGGUUUUGAAAGAAUAUCGGAGACGGAUGGGCAUGCGGCGCAUUAGCCAGUUGGCAGGGUAACGGCCUACCAAAGCGACGAUCAGUAGCCGGCCUGAGAGGGUGGACGGCCACAUUGGGACUGAGACACGGCCCAAACUCCUACGGGAGGCAGCAGUGGGGAAUAUUGCACAAUGGGGGAAACCCUGAUGCAGCGACGCCGCGUGAGUGAAGAAGUAUUUCGGUGUGUAAAGCUCUAUCAGCAGGAACGAGACAAGACGGUACCUGACUAAGAAGCCCCGGCUAACUACGUGCCAGCAGCCGCGGUAAUACGUAGGGGGCAAGCGUUAUCCGGAAUCACUGGGUGUAAAGGGAGCGUAGACGGCUGAGCAAGCCUGAAGUGAAAGGCGGGGGCCCAACCCCCGGACUGCUUUGGGAACUGUACGGCUGGAGUGCAGGAGAGGUAAGUGGAAUUCCUAGUGUAGCGGUGAAAUGCGUAGAUAUUAGGAGGAACACCAGUGGCGAAGGCGGCUUACUGGACUGUAACUGACGUUGAGGCUCGAAAGCGUGGGGAGCAAACAGGAUUAGAUACCCUGGUAGUCCACGCCGUAAACGAUGAUUACUAGGUGUUCGGGGGGCAGAGGCCCUUCGGGUGCCGCAGCAAACGCAAUAAGUAAUCCACCUGGGGGAGUACGUCCGCAAGGAUGAAACUCAAAGGAAUUGACGGGGACCCGCACAAGCGGGUGGAGCAUGUGGUUUGAUUCGAAGCAACGCGAAGAACCUUACCCGGCCUUGACAUCCCCCUGACAGCAUAUGUAAUGUAUGUUCCUUUCGGGGCAGGGGAGACAGGUGGUGCAUGGUUGUCGUCAGCUCGUGUCGUGAGAUGUUGGGUUAAGUCCCGCAACGAGCGCAACCCUUACCCACAGUAGCCAGCACAAAAGGUGGGCACUCUGUGGGGACUGCCGGGGACAACCCGGAGGAAGGUGGGGAUGACGUCAAAUCAUCAUGCCCCUUAUGGCCGGGGCUACACACGUGCUACAAUGGCGUAAACAAAGGGAAGCGAGAGAGUGAUCUUAAGCGAAACUCAAAAAUAACGUCCCAGUUCGGAUUGCAGUCUGCAACUCGACUGCAUGAAGCUGGAAUCGCUAGUAAUCGCGGAUCAGAAUGCCGCGGUGAAUACGUUCCCGGGUCUUGCACUCACCGCCCGUCA
rnacentral:rRNA from 1 species